CUGGCGGUGCGCCUUAUGCAUGCAAGUCGAGCGAAGCUUUUCAGUAGUUUACUACAGAAAAUGACUGAGCGGCGAACGGGUGAGUAACGCGUGAGCAACCUACCUUAGUUACUGGGAUAGCCCGAGGAAACUCGGAUUAAUACCGGAUAUUCUUAUUUAAUCACAUGAUUUUUUAAGGAAAGGUCAGCCGAACUAAGAUGGGCUCGCGUUCUAUCAGCUAGUUGGUAGGGUAAUGGCCUACCAAGGCUACGACGGAUAGCUGGUCUGAGAGGACGAUCAGCCACACUGGGACUGAGACACGGCCCAGACUCCUACGGGAGGCUGCAGCAGGGAAUAUUGCGCAAUGAGCGAAAGCUUGACGCAGCGACACCGCGUGUGGGAUGACGGAUCUAGGUUUGUAAACCACUUUCAGGAGGGAAGAAAAUGACGGUACCUCCACAAGAAGCCCCGGCCAACUACGUGCCAGCAGCCGCGGUAAUACGUAGGGGGCGAGCGUUGUCCGGAUUUAUUGGGCGUAAAGAGCUCGUAGGCGGUUCAACAAGUCGGUCGUGAAAGUUCAGGGCUCAACCCUGAAAUGUCGAUCGAUACUGUUGUGACUAGGAUACGGUAGAGGUGAGUGGAAUUCCGAGUGUAGCGGUGAAAUGCGUAGAUAUUCGGAGGAACACCAAUUGCGAAGGCAGCUCACUGGGCCGCUAUCGACGCUGAGGAGCGAAAGCUAGGGGAGCAAACAGGAUUAGAUACCCUGGUAGUCCUAGCUGUAAACGAUGGAUACUAGACGUAGGAAUUGGAUUAACGAUUUCUGUGUCGUAGCUAACGCGUUAAGUAUCCCGCC
rnacentral:rRNA from 1 species